GACGAACGCUGGCGGCGUGCUUAACACAUGCAAGUCGAACGAUGAAGCCUAGCUUGCUAGGUGGAUUAGUGGCGAACGGGUGAGUAAUACGUGAGUGACCUACCUUUGACUCUGGGAUAAGCCUGGGAAACUGGGUCUAAUACCGGAUACGACCAAUCUCCGCAUGGGGUGUUGGUGGAAAGCGUUAUGGAGUGGUUUUAGAUGGGCUCACGGCCUAUCAGCUUGUUGGUGAGGUAAUGGCUUACCAAGGCGACGACGGGUAGCCGGCCUGAGAGGGUGACCGGCCACACUGGGACUGAGACACGGCCCAGACUCCUACGGGAGGCAGCAGUGGGGAAUAUUGCACAAUGGGCGCAAGCCUGAUGCAGCGACGCCGCGUGAGGGAUGACGGCCUUUCGGGUUGUAAACCUCUGUUAGCAUCGAAGAAGCGAAAGUGACGGUAGGUGCAGAGAAAGCCCGCUAACUAC
rnacentral:rRNA from 1 species